CAAAAUAUUGGCGAAGUUAACUCAAGAUAAUUGACAGAAAAUGUAUUUACGCUUUCAAAAACUAGUUUACUGAGAAUACAGACAUUAAUGUCUUUAUCUUCUCUACUUUCUAGACUCGGUUGUUAAAGAGCGAGCUUUAGCAUCCAUGGAUCUCGCUUAGUAGUAACUCGGCGAAGUUCGUAUCUAUGGGGCUUUCUUACCCGCGGUUAUAAAAAUAACCGGCUUAGCGAAAGAAGAGAACUGAUAAUUAUCGAUGGUCUUAUUAACGUAUCACUAUCAGAAACGAAGCCAAAUCACUUGCCACUGAUAAGGAAAGAUGAAUGACUUCGUACUCGUUUAUUAAACAUGUGCCGAUUUAUGUUCAUAUAUCUAAGAAAUGGAUUUUAACAGAUGAUCUUCUGACUAUGAGAAUGUACUUUGAAAUAAUUUUUGAGUCGUUUUCCUAAUAACAUCUUAUUCAAGACUGCUGUCACAGUAGGAAACAAACCAUUAGAGUUUUGAUUCAUUCAAUAUAUCGUAAUAUUUUGAAAGCGGCUAAUUACAUAUAGGACUUCCUAAUAAGUUAAGAGUUUACGUGCAUUUUUGAUUGUUCACUAAUUUUGCACCAAUGUAGACGAAAUGGAUUGUUUUGAUUAGCACAAUAAUUUUGUAGCCUAAUGUUCG